rnacentral:rRNA from 1 species
GACGUAGGGGGCCAGCGUUGCUCGGAAUUACUGGGCGUAAAGGGUUCGUAGGCGGUGCGGCAAGUCGGGAGUGAAAUCUCUGGGCUUAACUCAGGGGCUGCUUCCGAAACUGCCGUGCUUGAGUGCGGGAGAGGCGAGUGGAAUUGCAGGUGUAGCGGUGAAAUGCGUAGAUAUCUGCAGGAACACUCGUGGCGAAGGCGGCUCGCUGGACCGCAACUGACGCUGAGGAACGAAAGCUAGGGGAGCAAACAGG